rnacentral:tRNA from 1 species
GUUUUAAUAGUUUAAAUAAAACAUUGGUCUUGUAAAUCAAAGUUAAGAUUGUCUUUUAAAACA